rnacentral:pre_miRNA from 1 species
UUACUACUCCCUCCGUCCGGAAAUACUUGUCAUCAAAAUGGAUAAAAGGGAAUGUAUCUAGACAUAUUUUAGUUCUAGAUACAUCUCUUUUUAUCCAUUUUGAUGACAAGUAUUUUGGGAUGGAGGGAGUAUGUU